CUCCGGUUGAUCCCGCCCGGACCUGACUGCUAUCGGAUUGGUACUAAGCCAUGCGAGUCGUUGUAGCAAUACAAGGCGGACGGCUCAGUAACACGUAGUCAACCUAACCUAUGGACGUGGAUAACCUCGGGAAACUGAGAAUAAACCGCGAUAGAUCAUUAUGCCUGGAAUGGCUUAUGGUUCAAACAAUUUAUUGCCGUAGGAUGGGACUGCGGCCUAUCAGCUUGUUGGUGAGGUAAUGGCCCACCAAGGCUAUAACAGGUACGGGCUCUGAGAGGAGAAGCCCGGAGAUGGGUACUGAGACACGGACCCAGGCCCUAUGGGGCGCAGCAGGCGAGAAACCUUAGCAAUGUGCGAAAGCACGACUAGGUUAAUCCGAGUGAUUUCUGUUGAAGAAAUCUUUUGUCAGUCGUAAAACCACAGACGAAUAAGGGGUGGGCAAGUCUGGUGUCAGCCGCCGCGGUAAUACCAGCACCUCGAGUGGUCAGGAGGUUUAUUGGGCCUAAAGCAUCCGUAGCCGGCUACGCAAGUCUCCGGUUAAAUCCAGCUGCUCAACAGAUGGGCUGCCGGAGAUACUACAUAGCUAGGGAGCGGGAGAGGUAGACGGUAUUCUGUGGGUAGGGGUAAAAUCCACUGAUCCAUAGAGGACCACCAGUGGCGAAGGCGGUCUACCAGAACGCGUUCGACGGUGAGGGAUGAAAGCUGGGGGAGCAAACCGGAUUAGAUACCCGGGUAGUCCCAGCUGUAAACGAUGCAGACUCGGUGAUGGGUUGGCCUCGCGCCUGCCCAGUGCCGCAGGGAAGCCGUUAAGUCUGCCGCCUGGGGAGUACGGUCGCAAGACUGAAACUUAAAGGAAUUGGCGGGGGGAGCC
rnacentral:rRNA from 1 species